UGCGGAGGGAUCAUUACAGAGUUAUCCAACUCCCAAACCCAUGUGAACUUAUCUCUUUGUUGCCUCGGCGCAAGCUACCCGGGACCUCGCGCCCCGGGGGGCCCGCCGGCGGACAAACCAAACUCUGUUAUCUUCGUUGAUUAUCUGAGUGUCUUAUUUAAUAAGUCAAAACUUUCAACAACGGAUCUCUUGGUUCUGGCAUCGAUGAAGAACGCAGCGAAAUGCGAUAAGUAAUGUGAAUUGCAGAAUUCAGUGAAUCAUCGAAUCUUUGAACGCACAUUGCGCCCAUUAGUAUUCUAGUGGGCAUGCCUGUUCGAGCGUCAUUUCAACCCCUAAGCACAGCUUAUUGUUGGGACUCUACGGCUUCGUAGUUCCCCAAAGACAUUGGCGGAGUGGCAGCAGUCCUCUGAGCGUAGUAAUUCUUUAUCUCGCUUUUGUUAGGCGCUGCCCCCCCCGGCCGUAAAACCCCCAAUUUUUUCUGGUUGACCUCGGAUCAGGUAGGAAUACCCGCUGAACUUAAGCAUAUCAAUA
rnacentral:rRNA from 1 species